CUCUCUUUCUCUCUGUCUCUCUGUCUCUCUGUCUCUCUGUCUCUCUGUCUCUCUGUCUCUCUCUCUCUCGUCCCCUCCAAAGUGGGCAUGGCCCUCUACCAGGGUCUGGGACAGAGCGGGGUGCCGCUGGCCCGGCGGAGGCGGCGGUGGCCGCACAGAGGCCUGACCGCGGCUCAGGCCAGCACAACGUCCCGUGACCUCUGCCCGAUGGUUCCCGAUGGCUGUCUGUGUCGUUGCUGGAUGGGGAAAGCGAGCUGAAAACCAAUUAAGAAAAGCGGACCCUCCCCCUCCUCUGUUUACAAGACGACUAAUUCCCGCCCCGCCAGCACGAUCCCGACACCCAGACCCCGUAGAAGGAGAGACGAGCCACUCAGUAUUUAUGAGAUGUCUGCACCUUUAUUCCUAAGCUUGACCGUUAGCAAUACACAUAUACUCCAUAGAGACUAUUAGAGCUAAGUCGUAGCAGCCUUUUCAAGGAGGAGAGGAGGGACUGGACCGCGUGGGGCUGACGUGGCGCCGGCCCCGAUCCAGCCGCCGCCCCCACGCUCUGCCCUCCCUGUGGCGUGGGAGGUGCUGCAGGAGGCGGCUGGGACGGAGGGCAAACGGUCCUCGGAAGGGGCCAGAGAGGUGACAUACUGUGAGCUCGGGUGGGGCCCGCCACCCGGCCGGCCGGCGGGCCUCGGCACUUGAAUCCUGUCCUGUUUCCUGCACUGUGUCUGGCCUCGCCCAGAGUUCUCUGUGGUCGCCUCACUUUGCAGUGGACUCGGUCGUCUCGCCUUGCCCCCCGAAGGGGGACGCAGCUGUGGACGAGCGGCGAGGGGCAGAGACUGCGGGGCGGGCGUGCAGCCCGCAGCCCCUUCCGGCCUCCCGGAUGCUGGGCGGCCGCAGGCAGGGGCUCCGGGAACACUCAUUGCGAGCGGGGGUUGGGGGGCCGACGGAGGGGCGGCCUGUGCUCUGCAGGGACUCCGGUGCGCCCGGCCCUCGCCAGCAGGAACGUCCUAGCCCCCGGCCCAGUGCCACCCCCAACGUUUACUGCUCAGAUUGCCCCCAGACAGGUUAUUUUUACGGAAAUAUCUUGCCGCAAUAGAAAAAGGCCAGUUGCCCAUUAACCAGCUCAGAGCUCCGAGAAGCCUGCUCGCCUCUGCCCGGCAGUAAACCCCGCCCGCAGAACCCAGAGUUCGUAGCUGUCUUGAGCUUUAACUACUGUUUCAGAAUGUUGCUGCUGCCUAAAUCCAUUGUCGUGUCGCCCGCCGGAGACGCGGGACCGUUAGGGCUUGGUACAAGAUGUUUCUCACGUGGCAAAGGUUUGGGGUUUUUGUUUGUUUGCUUGUUGUGUUUCUUUGGGGAGAAAAAAAGCGAAAAGGAAAAUUAUGCAGAAUCUAAAGCAUUCGGAUUGGACAACCUGCUCGAAUUCUGAUCAGUUGCUUCGUUGUUAGCAUUUUGCACAUGAUUGUAAUUUUUCUGUCAACAGAAGCCAAAACUUGCAAUACUAUUUUUAGCAGACAAAAAAAAAACAAACAAAAAAAGAACUACGUAUAAAACGUAUAAAUAUUUUUGACUUGAACAUUUGGAUGGCACUGGGCACAAAUAGACCAUUUGUCCUCUGGACGGAAUGUUUGGAGACUCGAGACUUUUCGGAGGAGACGGUUGUGGAGUCGGGUGAGGGGUUAGGUAGUACUGUAACUCACGACUGUUAAAACUCAAAUAAAGUAAAGAAGCUGUUCCUGUGCUGUAUAAAGGUUGGUCUCACACCACUGAGUUCGAUUUCAGCCGCAGAAGCUUUUGUUUUGUUUUGUUUUGUGUUUCGGAGAAGGAGGAAACCUUUGUCCUUCCGGCGUCCUCACUCUGUGCUGCUACUCGGCAGAGUCCAGACUGUCGCUUCUUAGCUGCGGCUGACGCUGUAGCAGUAACUCGACCCGCAGGAGCGUUUCCAGCAACCAGGAAACAGGGCUCCUGGCACUUAGAGCCGCUGCUUCGUAAGGUGGAAAUUCGUUGCAAAGAGACAAAAGGGUGUGAUCAGUUCGUUGUAAAGCGCUUUGUAAAAUUCACAUUUACAGAAUAAUAAAGUCAGUUCAAACUCAA